AAAGUGUGACCUCUGUUCUGCCGAUAAUUAACAAUUUACUUUUUCCCCCAUCUUUGUGCCCUAAAUCAUCCCCUUUACGCAGAGACGUGCUUCCGACGAUCCAAGUCAAUUAUAGGAAUAAUUUCGAAAACGUGCACCUACUUCUGAAGAAUUGAGAGGGAGGUUGAUGAAUUGCCGAGUACCCUGACCACUCUUCAGCUACCUACGCAUUAUUUGGAUCUCGGCACUAAUCAGGAAGACUACGUAAGGUGUACUUGUCAAGUGUGAGGAGAAAAGUUGGCAUCGAGCAGGCUAAAAAAGGGCUUAGUUCCGGUAACCCACUCUUUAGCGACCAACGCCCGAUGUGGACGUCAGUAGCUCCCAUGGCGAAAGGCAAGGAAGAAACUCUUCAGAAGGAAAUCCUGCGGAAGGGGCGCAAUCUCUGAUCAACUUCUUCGUUAUGACCUUUGAAUAUAAUGUAUUCAAAGGUUAUGACUCAAUAGUGGUGUACCAUGAAGUUAGGAUUCUGGUGACGUGGUAUAGAUUCUUCACGGCUUGAAACGAUGUGAUGGAUAAAGGUGGGCGGAAAGAAGGUUGGUUUUGGUGAUGCGAUUUUUGAACGUAUUAGAUAUUUUGAAUACAGUAUACAAUGACCGAUGACAUCUGACCUUUUCAAUGAAUGCAAAUUGAAGACCAACUUUCUCACUUUACUCACUACAGGGUGUUACAUGGAAGUAUGUAAAAAAAUUGGGCGGAUAUAAGUAUCUAGUUUAUCAUAUCAAAAAUUAAAAUUUUGAAAUGACAUGUUUCUACCGUCAGUCAUUUUUAUUGAUUGGUAUCGGCUGCCUUAGUUACCAUGGAUACAAUAAACGCAA